ACAUCAUAAUUGAUAGCAUUAUAUUGGCUAUCAUCUUCUUCAUCCUCGGACACUUCAUCAAUUAGGGUGGUGGACCGGCUUGAACUUGCUACCCGCUUUCCCUUGUACGUUGAACUUGAAGAACUCGCUCGAAGUCCAUAGAUGUUCUCCUCAACUCCAACAGCCAUAAAAACGGUACCCCAAUCAAGAUCAUCUCCUUCAUACACUUGUUCAUCUUCGUGAUUUUGGGAGGCUCCAGUUAACCAUUCAUUUGCCUCAUCAAUAUUGUCCAACAAAAUUGGAUCAAUAGUAUNNNNNN
rnacentral:lncRNA from 1 species